GAAUAUUAGUCAAUGCUCGAAAGAGUGAACUAGCUAACUGAAAUCAAUUAUAAAAAUUGAUAACAUAAGGGAAAAUAAUGAUAUUACCUUAUUAUUAGUGUCGUCCAAAUCUGGUGCCAGAAGACUCGGUAAGGCCAGAGACACGAACGUUAAUCGUCUUAAUCAGGCGUAAAGGGUUUGUAGGCGGCUUUAAAUUUAUUAAAAAAUAAAAAAAAAAAAUAAAAUUAAAUUUAUUAAAAGUAAAGAAUAAAAGCUAGAAUCAAAUAGAGGAUAAGUUAAAGAAUGCUUAGAGUAGGUCUGAUAUCCUUAGAUACUAAGUAGAAUAUUAAAGGCGAAAGCUUUUUUCCAUUAAUGAUUGACGCUCAGAAACGAAGGUGAGGAUAGGAAAUAGGAUUAGAUACCCAAAAUACCCCUCUCUGUCAACGAUGAAUGGUAGUUAUUAGUAAUAAAUUAUUAAUGGCAAUGUUAACACGAUAACCAUUCCGCCUUGUGAGUACAACUGCAAAGUUGAAAACAAAAAAAUUAGUCGGUUUCGGAGCAAACGAAGUGAAGCAUGUUAUUUAAUU
rnacentral:rRNA from 1 species